CCCUACAGCGACUUCAGUAUUUGAAGUUCUACAGUUGGUCAUAGGCUGCACAAUCUGGGUGGCUGAACUAUAGGAGAUGGGAAAUAGCUGCUCCUCCUUUUCUCUAGGAUCUUCUGUCAAUUCCUCUUCUUAAGGAGUAAAUGGCAAGAUGCUAGGGUGGUUAUUAAAAACCACAUGUAAAGAUACCCUAUAUGUUAUGGCUGUGCUGCUUUACGUGCACUUGGAGAAAAAGGGCUUGAAAUACUGCUGGACCAAACCUGCAACAAAACUCCCUGAUAUUUGGAUGGACCUCAUGCAUGUGAAGGUACUUCAAAAUGGAACUCAUAAUCCUGGACAUCUUUCCAUGAGAGGCUCAGUAUGCAAAGAUUUCUCAUAAAACAAAUCAGAAGACUUGUAACCUUUGCAGGUUUGCUCUUGGAGCAGCACAAGCUUGGACAGAAAAUUGUAAUUUAAAGCACCAGGAUUUGCACAAAUUGCACUCCACUGCAAUUAAAUUUAAGAAAAAAUGCAGCAAACAAUAACUUCAGUGAAGGAGGACGUUAAUGUAGUGAUUUUGCAACCUUGUCUUGCAGUAAAAUAAUGUCAGACGGAAGCUAUUUAUAGAACUACUAUCUCUGCUCAUGAUUCCAUUAAAUCUGCAUUUAAACCCAAUAAACUUAAUUUUGACGUAACAAUUGUCAUGUUAAAAAUCUGGUAUUUGCCUCUUAGUAAUUACGACCCAGUUUAUAGAUAUUUGUUUUUCUCAGAUAAAAAAAGUCUGGUAUUGAACUAUUGGACAAUUAAAACACUUGUUAAGAAAAUUUGGCUUCACAAAGUUUCCAGCACCUACUGGAAUCCUAGUUUUUAUUGUCACAACUGAUUAUGCUCACUAUGAACAGGAAAAGCCUACUUUUGUCUAACAAAUACUUUUAUGUGGAUUUUAAAAGAAGGGACAAAAUAAUUCAAACCUUGAUGACUUCAUUUGGAAGAUUAUUUGGAUGAAAGUAAGGUGUGCAAAAGUUAUUGCUAAGUCCAUGUAUGGAUAGUUCUAAUUCUGGAAACAAAAUGUCUUCUUGUUUCACCUAAUAUACUUUGAAAAUAGUGGUGUUUAGCUUAAUCCUUCACUGAACUGGAACAGGCCCACUUAUCCCAGCCCACCUAUGAGUUAGGCUGGAAAAGGACUAGCUUUUCUGAAUAACUACCAGACACUCAUUUGAGAAAUAUUUUUCCAAGUACUUUAGGUCUGAUUCAGACCUUAGUUGACACAUAUUAUAGACUUCCAAAUCUCAAUUCUGAAAUUUGCCACUGUCUCAUCAAAUAAAAACUCAGCAUUAGAAGCUUGCAAGACUGAACUCCAAAACUUAAUCUGAGCUGUGAUGAAUGUGUGAGACAAAUAUAAUUUAGAUUUUGUGAUUAUGAUAAAUCUCAAACCAUGAUAAAUUCUUUUGUUGGACUUGGGCAAAGCAGCUGCAAUACUCUUUAAAAUGAAUAUGACAAUUGUGUUGGUCUCUAAUUGAACAAAUUAAUUAUUGUUUGGUACUUAGGACAAGUGGGCAUGUAUACAAGUUCUGUUAAUCUCUGUUAAAUGGUACUACAAUUUAGAGAUUAUGUGAGUCAAGGAUUUGAGAUUGUUAGUUCUAAGGAACAAGACUUGAAUCUCCCUGUGUUUGAACUGCUCUUAGCAAACUAGAACUGUAAUAAGAUUGAGGACUCGAGACACAA